AGAACGAACGCUGGCGGCAUGCCUAACACAUGCAAGUCGGACGCUUUCGGGGGUUUCGGCCUCCGAGGGAGUGGCGGACGGGUGAGUAGCGCGUGGGAACCUGCCCCUUUGUGGGGGAUAACCGAGGGAAACUUCGGCUAAUACCGCAUGCGCCCGGGGGUAACUCCGGGGAAAGAUUUAUCGCAGAGGGAGGGGCCCGCGUCGGAUUAGGUAGUUGGUGGGGUAACGGCCUACCAAGCCGGUGAUCCGUAGCUGGUCUGAGAGGAUGAUCAGCCACACUGGGACUGAGACACGGCCCAGACUCCUACGGGAGGCAGCAGUGGGGAAUAUUGGACAAUGGGCGCAAGCCUGAUCCAGCAAUGCCGCGUGAGUGAUGAAGGCCUUAGGGUUGUAAAGCUCGUUUCGGCGGGGACGAUGAUGACGGUACCGCAGAAGAACGCCCCGGACUAACUUCGUGCCAGCAGCCGC
rnacentral:rRNA from 1 species